rnacentral:rRNA from 1 species
AAAUUGAAGAGUUUGAUCAUGGCUCAGAUUGAACGCUGGCGGCAGGCCUAACACAUGCAAGUCGAACGGUAACAGGAAGCAGCUUGCUGCUUCGCUGACGAGUGGCGGACGGGUGAGUAAUGUCUGGGAAACUGCCUGAUGGAGGGGGAUAACUACUGGAAACGGUAGCUAAUACCGCAUAACGUCGCAAGACCAAAGAGGGGGACCGUCGGGCCUCUUGCCAUCGGAUGUGCCCAGAUGGGAUUAGCUAGUAGGUGGGGUAACGGCUCACCUAGGCGACGAUCCCUAGCUGGUCUGAGAGGAUGACCAGCCACACUGGAACUGAGACACGGUCCAGACUCCUACGGGAGGCAGCAGUGGGGAAUAUUGCACAAUGGGCGCAAGCCUGAUGCAGCCAUGCCGCGUGUAUGAAGAAGGCCUUCGGGUUGUAAAGUACUUUCAGCGGGGAGGAAGGGAGUAAAGUUAAUACCUUUGCUCAUUGACGUUACCCGCAGAAGAAGCACCGGCUAACUCCGUGCCAGCAGCCGCGGUAAUACGGAGGGUGCAAGCGUUAAUCGGAAUUACUGGGCGUAAAGCGCACGCAGGCGGUUUGUUAAGUCAGAUGUGAAAUCCCCGGGCUCAACCUGGGAACUGCAUCUGAUACUGGCAAGCUUGAGUCUCGUAGAGGGGGGUAGAAUUCCAGGUGUAGCGGUGAAAUGCGUAGAGAUCUGGAGGAAUACCGGUGGCGAAGGCGGCCCCCUGGACGAAGACUGACGCUCAGGUGCGAAAGCGUGGGGAGCAAACAGGAUUAGAUACCCUGGUAGUCCACGCCGUAAACGAUGUCGACUUGGAGGUUGUGCCCUUGAGGCGUGGCUUCCGGAGCUAACGCGUUAAGUCGACCGCCUGGGGAGUACGGCCGCAAGGUUAAAACUCAAAUGAAUUGACGGGGGCCCGCACAAGCGGUGGAGCAUGUGGUUUAAUUCGAUGCAACGCGAAGAACCUUACCUGGUCUUGACAUCCACAGAACUUUCCAGAGAUGGAUUGGUGCCUUCGGGAACUGUGAGACAGGUGCUGCAUGGCUGUCGUCAGCUCGUGUUGUGAAAUGUUGGGUUAAGUCCCGCAACGAGCGCAACCCUUAUCCUUUGUUGCCAGCGGUCCGGCCGGGAACUCAAAGGAGACUGCCAGUGAUAAACUGGAGGAAGGUGGGGAUGACGUCAGUCAUCAUCAUGGCCCUUACGACCGGGGCUACACACGUGCUACAAUGGCGCAUACAAAGAGAAGCGACCUCGCGAGAGCAAGCGGACCUCAUAAAGUGCGUCGUAGUCCGGAUUGAGUCUGCAACUCGACUCCAUGAAGUCGGAAUCGCUAGUAAUCGUGGAUCAGAAUGCCACGGUGAAUACGUUCCCGGGCCUUGUACACACCGCCCGUCACACCAUGGGAGUGGGUUGCAAAAGAAGUAGGUAGCUUAACCUUCGGGAGGGCGCUUACCACUUUGUGAUUCAUGACUGGGGUGAAGUCGUAACAAGGUAACCGUAGGGGAACCUGCGGUUGGAUCACCUCCUUACCUUAAAGAAGC